AGGUACACUAAGAUUCUUCUGCGAGAGUAGUGUGGUAGAAUGAGGUGGGUAUAAAUGCUUGGCUAGAAAAGGAGAAACAGUCUAAUUAAUAAGGGAGAGGUCUCAGUGUUGGGCUGAGAUCAGCCACUGUAGGACAUAGCAAUCGUUUUUAUGUUCUUGGAAGUGGGUCUUGGAUUGACUUCAGUGAUAUUUGGAUUUUGAAGAUCUGAGAUCUCCUCCUUGGCUUCAACAGUUAGGGCUCCCUGAUGAAUCGAGAACUAUGAGGAGUUCUGGAAGAAGUGUAGCAGCACAAAUGCUCUGCACACAGGGUCCAUCCAACGCAGUAUUCAGUCUCCGAUAAUGCAACCAGAUGCUUGGAUAAAUAGAGACCACUGAAGGCUGUAGCUGACGUGCCACCUGCAAAGGGGGAAAAAAUGAACUGGUUGAAGAUGGUCUCGCCCCAUCCGAUGUACAUUUGAUUCCUGAAUGAACUGUAGAUUUAGAUGGCCUCAAAUUACCUGCUGAACUUUAUUUUCUAGGACUGCGGUUUCAGUUGCACAGAGAUCGUCUAUCAGCUGGCAUCACAGUCACAGUGUUUUGAUUGUUUAUAGGGUUUUACAAGAUUAGCAGCUAGCUAAGAACUAAAGUUGCAUAUUAAAUUUGAUGUGGAGGUGAAUUCCUUUUCCCCUCAGACCCUAGAUGGUUUAUUCCACUCCUUCACAGCAGGAUGGCAGCAAUGCUACAGGCUGCUUCACAGCUCGGCACUGAUUGCUGAAGACCCAUUAGAGGUUAGAAAUUCUGCUCAAAGGCCCCCAAUCUGCUGCUUAUUUUUGGCUGAAAAUUCCAACUAAAGUUAAUGGUAGUUUUUAACCGAAGACGGGUAGGGAAUUGAGUUCCAAGUAUUAAUUACAUUCCAGUUGCUGCUAUAGCGUUUAUCCAUGUUUGCUCAGCAGAGGAAAUACUGGCUGUUUCAGCAAAAAAAAAGAAUGGUUUGUAUUUUUUCAACCAUUCUAUUCCAUUUAGCUUUAUCUUUGUUCGAACUGUCAUUGCUGGAAAGGACUAUGUAAGCAUUGCUGAAGUUGGAUACAACUUAAUGAUAGUGCUUGCUUAAAUGGCAGUUGGUGAUUUAUAGCUCGAGUAAGAAUAAUCAUCCCAUAUGAAAAAAUAUUCUCUUCAAGGUACUGCAUAAUAGCAAAGUUUGGAUUCAUUUUUUCAACAGUGUACUUGUGUUUCAACAUUUUAAUGCUAGUGGGCAAAAGGCUGAAAAGAUGCCAUCUCAGCCAUUCAAUUGUUGACAGCGAAAAAAAUCAAAUAGUGUUAAUGAAAUGUUUCCAAGUUGGCAUUUUUAAAAGCAUAACCUAAGAAAGGAAACAUAUGUGCUUUUUUGGAAAACUGAACUAAAACACUGAAUGGGCAGAAGGAAUGAUUUAAAAUAAAAAUAGCCGAGAGCAUGUAAUAGGAACCCUCAGGAAAAAAUCAUGUCAACAGAUGGCUGUAAAGUCUAUUUCUCCAUCCGUAUUGCUGAAUGGACAAACAGAUAGGUUGAUGUUAUGAAAUUCCUAAUGGAUGUUAUGGAAUAAA